CGGCUGUGUUCUAUUUCCCUCUGUGCGGAGGGGAGAGCCGUUCCGUGACUGUGGAACCUCGGGAACACUGUCAUGGAGUUGCUCUCUUUUCCGCGCGAGGACAAAACAACAGCGAACAAA
rnacentral:precursor_RNA from 16 species